rnacentral:rRNA from 1 species
GUAGGGUGCAGGCGUUAAUCGGAAUUACUGGGCGUAAAGCGUGCGCAGGCGGCUCCUUAAGUCAGAUGUGAAAUCCCCGGGCUUAACCUGGGAACUGCGUUUGAAACUGGGGGGCUUGAGUGUGGAAGAGGGGGGUGGAAUUCCAGGUGUAGCAGUGAAAUGUGUUGAUAUCGGGAGGAACACCCAUGGCGAAGGCAGCAAACUGGGCAUUAUCUGACGCUGAGGCGCGAAAGCGUGGGUAGCAAACAGGAUUAGAUACCCUGGUAGUCCACGCCCUAAACGAUGGAUACUAGGCGUAAGAGGUAUCGACCCCUCUUGUGCCGCAGCUAACGCAUUAAGUAUCCCGCCUGGGGAGUACGGCCGCAAGGUUG